CCUGGAGACUCCUACGGGAGGCAGCCGUGGGGAAUAUUGGACCCUGGACCACAAGUCUGAUCCAGCCAUUCUGUGUGCACGAUGACGUUUUUCGGAAUGUAAAGUGCUUUCAGUUGGGAAGAAAAAAAUGACGGUACCAACAGAAGAAGUGACGGCUAAAUACGUGCCAGCAGCCGCGGUAAUACGUAUGUCACAAGCGUUAUCCGGAUUUAUUGGGCGUAAAGCGCGUCUAGGUGGUUAUGUAAGUCUGAUGUGAAAAUGCAGGGCUCAACUCUGUAUUGCGUUGGAAACUGCAUGACUAGAGUACUGGAGAGGUAAGCGGAACUACAAGUGUAGAGGUGAAAUUCGUAGAUAUUUGUAGGAAUGCCGAUGGGGAAGCCAGCUUACUGGACAGAUACUGACGCUAAAGCGCGAAAGCGUGGGUAGCAAACAGGAUUAGAUACCCUUGUAGUCCUAG
rnacentral:rRNA from 1 species